rnacentral:misc_RNA from 1 species
UCCGGUUUGUCACCGGCAGUCUCCCUAGAGUUCCCGACCGUAUCGCUGGCAAAUAGGGACAAGGGUUGCGCUCGUUACGGGACUUAACCCAACAUUUCACAACACGAGCUGACGACAGCCAUGCAGCACCUGUCUGAGCGUUCCCGAAGGCACCAAGGUAUCUCUACCAAGUUCGCUCGAUGUCAAGGGUAGGUGGGGAUGACG